GUUUGCAGCCAUAUCACCCUGCAACUCACAACUGGCAACCCACUGAAGCUAAGCAGGUGUGAGCCUGGUCAGUACCUGGAUGGGAGACCUCCUGGGAAAAACUAAGGUUGCUGCUGGAA
ensembl:rRNA 5S_rRNA 5S ribosomal RNA